AAUACAGCUGCAGUUGCUACUGCAAUCAAUCUGCCAAAUACAGUGGUACCUCGGGUUACAGACGCUUCAGGUUACAGACUCCGCUAACCCAGAAAUAGUACCUUGGGUUAAGAACUUUGCUUCAGGAUGAGAACAGAAAUCGUGUGGCGGGGGCAGGAGGCCCCAUUAGCUAAAGUAGUACCUCAGGUUAAGAACAGUUUCAGGUUAAGAACGGACCUCCAGAGAGAAUUAAGUUCUUAAUCCGAGGUACCACUGUAACUGCUGCCUACUAUAUCUUAGCUGCAAUUUUUACUAUUAGCUUUGAACAGCAGUGACAUUUGAGCAAGCUGUGCUUCACAUUUUAUUUUUUGCUUGCUUUAAUUGUGCCCCAAAUUCCUACGUGGGGUUCUGCGGAAUAUCUUUUGAGGAAUGAAACACAAUAAAAUGCGCUACCUUUGACUGUUCAGAGGUGGAUGGUGGGGAUGUUGUUGUUGUUGUUUGCACAAAGCGCCACUCUUUAAUGCUGUUUAAAAGCAGCAGCAUAAGUACAGCUCCUCCAUCUUUCAUUUAUUAAGGAUCUGUGUGUGCAAGCCGUGCUGUUUUUCUUCCCUGCGAUACUUUGCCUGCUUAUGGCCACGCUGUAACCUGAAUAACCUCUAAAGAGAAGCCAUAAUUAGCUUUUCAAGGCUCUUGUCACUGUGCGGGAGAGGGGACUUCCCUCCCUCCCCCUCAGUCCCUUUCACAGGCUGUCAAUUACCGACUAAAGUAGUUAUAAUUGCACCGUAUUCUGCCACUUUUCACAGUACGGAAAUAUCAUGCAAUCACACCAUGUUAUUUAGCAGUCGGCACAAAUGCAACCUCUGCAAGCUAAGGGACGCAGUUGUGUUAGCAGCACACAAGUGUAUAUCAUCUAUGCAAGCAUCCUUUAUCCCCUUUGCUCCCAGGGACUCUCUUCUCUCUCACUGCAAGGAAUGCAAGGGCAAACAGUUAUGCUGCUAAUGAAGAUUAUUUUUAAUUCUCUUGACAGCUUGCUACCCCGAUGUGGCUUUUCCUCCAAGAAGAAUAUGCACCGAGAAUGAAGGUCCUAACAGCAGGUGAUUACGCUGGCCUAUUUGGUACCAACAGCGAGAGGAAGGAAGCAGGAAAAAACCUUGAUGCUGUGGAUGGAAUUACACAAAGCUCAUAAGAGAAUGUCAG